CCAGCCAAUCCCAGGGAAGGCAGGAGGGCACUCCUCCAAUGGGAGCCCGGGAGCCUUACGUGGCGAUGGAGCUUGCGACCCAACUCGCACUCCAGCGGGCGGGAGGGACGCGUCCAGGGUAUUCGUGAGAUCCAGCUGACAUCCCCUGCAAUCUGCUUGCGUGCGGCGUGAAUGGCGGGAGGUGUCCGGUCAGCGGGUUGCAGAGGAUCUUGCGGGUAGCAGAGGGAGAGCGAGUGCCCCUGCAGCCCCACGCUGCGACCAGGAUUGACUUCAGGAUCCCACAUUGCAUUUGGUUGCCAUGUCUCCUUAGGCUCUUUCAAUCUGGGACAGUUCCUGGAAGAAAACAUAGGAAUAAAGUUUUUUUUGUCUUUCAUGGCUUUGAUACUUUUGAAGAGCCCCAGGCCGUUAUUUUAUAGAAUGUGAGUUUGUCUGAUGUUUCUUGUGAUUAUAGUAAAGUUAUGGAAUUGGGGCAGGAAUACCACAGAAGAGACAUAUCUUCAGUGCUUUGUAUCAGGAGGCUCGUAAUGUCAUUUUGUCCCAGUACUGGUUUUAUUCACUGACUAUUUGUUUAAGGUGGUGUCUACCAGGUUUCUCCACUACAGUUACUCUUUUUUCCUUUAUAAUCAAUUAGUAAUUUGUGGAGUGAUUCUUUAAGAUUAUGUAAAUAUCAAACAUCUUGUUUUAAAUCUCAGAUCAUCAAACUAUACUAUCACCCACCCAUCCGUGUUAGAGUCAGGUACAAACAUACACACAUACCUGCCCCUGUCACACCUCAUUCCUAGAAGAAUUUAGCUACUAGUCACUCUCUAUAACACUGCCCCAGUCCUACUUCUUAGUGAUUUUAAUACCCUCAUAGAUGACCCUUGCGGUGUUCUUGUCUCUCAUUUCUGUGAUCUGCUCUCCUACAAUACCUUUCAAACCCACCUCAGCCACCUACUCUGAUAGUGGUACCCUUCUUAUCAGUACCUGUAAUAUCAUUGCCUCCAUGAUCUCAGUUUCAGGCGUCCUGCUAUCCAUCCAGUACCUCUAAUCUUUCUUUCCCUCUAGCUCCCCAACUCCAGCAAACCUUCAGCAUUUUUCACUACUCUUUACUUACUCCAUGUUCCCGUGUCCUUCCUUUAAUCAGCUUAGAUUCCGUGGUCCAUCACUAUAGUCCUUCCCUUGCAUACAUCCUCACUUGCCUUGGCCUCUGUCACUUCAGCACACUUACCAGGUAAACCCCGGGCCCUGGUUAAAUCUUUUGUUGCACCUUUAUUGAGAUAUAUUUCACAUACCAUAAAAUUCAUCCUUUAAAGGGUUUUUGGUAUCUUAACAGAAUUGUGCAACCAUUACCACAAUCAAUUUUAGAACAUUUGUAUCCCACCCAAAAGAAGCCUCAUACUCAUUAGCAGUUACUCCCCAUAACUCCCCUCCCCCAAGUCCUAGGCAACCACUAAUCUGCUUUCUAUCUCUACUGAUUUGUCUAGCCUAGACAAUUCAGGUAAUUGGGAUCAUACAACAUGUUGGUCUCUACGAGUAGCUUUUUUCACUUAGCAUAAUGUUGAGGUUCAUCCAUGUUGUUGCAUGUAGCACUCCCUUUUAUUGCCAGAUAAUCUGUUGUAUGUGUAUACCACAUUUUAUUUAUCCAUUUGUCGGCUGAUGGACA